AUAAGUAGAUUCCGUACAUCACUUGACCUAAUUUCAGAUUAACCCUAAACUAUUAAUGCCAAAUUAUACCAAUUACCUCCAAAAUUCCUUGAAAAAUUUCCCCAAAAUUGAACUCAAGCAAGUAAACUAGCUAUGUCAAUAUUGCAGAAGAUUGAAAGUGCAUCUGAUUCAUCCAACACCGUGACUCUUCCAGACCAUCUCGUAAUUGAUCAUAUUCUCCCAAGACUUCCGGCAAGAAGAUUAUUUUCACUGUCACUUCCACCGGAAAGCUCUUGUUGGGACACUUGAAAGUUGAUAGCCAGCAGUUUACGAUAAUUGGCUCUACUAAGGAUACUCGAGAACUAUCCCAAAGAGAUGCUUACAUUACAAAGGAAAGAAUAUGAUAGAGUAUAUAACAUAUCCCUGGGCCUCAACCAUCAGCUUAAGCUUUUGGUUGAGUUGGUCCUCUAACAUGGUAUUAGAGCCAACGUGACAUAGAGGUCACGGGUUCGAAUCUCAUCCACCCCUCCUUUAAAGUGGAAUUAAUUUGCGCCGGGUAUGAGAGGGUCUGUGCUGCAUCCACAUUUCAAGCCCAAAGGGCCUUUCAUGUGAGGGGGAGUGAUAGAGUAUAUAACAUAUUCCUAAGCCUCAACCAUCAGCUUAAGCUUUAGUAUGGCCAGCUCAUGUCAAUGUUGGUUAUUAAUCCCCUCCCCCCUAGUAAUGUUGCUACUCUAUUGUCUCGGAUGUAGUUCAUGUAUAAAUUCACUCCUAUUACUGUGUACUUGUGUAGCUGGUCAGUCGACGAGUGGGUGUUUGAUUAUGCAGCCUGUUAGACCUUACAAGCUUGCAAAAGCAGAUACUGUGUAUGUAAUUGGGUCAUGAGUGUAAUAUUGACGCUUGACCGGACCAUCAUUAUUAGCUUGAAAUUUCUCGAUUGCU